rnacentral:rRNA from 1 species
AGAGUUUGAUCCUGGCUCAGAGCGAACGCUGGCGGCAGGCCUAACACAUGCAAGUCGAACGAACUCUUCGGAGUUAGUGGCGACGGGUGAGUAACACGUGGGAACGUGCCUUUGGUUCGGAAUAACUCAGGGAAACUUGUGCUAAUACCGAAUGUGCCCUUCGGGGGAAAGAUUUAUCGCCAUUAGAGCGGCCCGCGUCUGAUUAGCUAGUUGGUGAGGUAAAGGCUCACCAAGGCGACGAUCAGUAGCUGGUCUGAGAGGAUGAUCAGCCACAUUGGGACUGAGACACGGCCCAAACUCCUACGGGAGGCAGCAGUGGGGAAUCUUGCGCAAUGGGCGAAAGCCUGACGCAGCCAUGCCGCGCGAAUGAUGAAGGUCUUAGGAUUGUAAAAUUCUUUCACCGGGGACGAUAAUGACGGUACCCGGAGAAGAAGCCCCGGCUAACUUCGUG